AUUGAACGCUGGCGGCAUGCCUUACACAUGCAAGUCGAACGGUAACGGGCCUUCGGGUGCCGACGAGUGGCGAACGGGUGAGUAAUGUAUCGGAACGUACCUUUCAGUGGGGGAUAACGUAGCGAAAGUUACGCUAAUACCGCAUAUUCUGUGUGCAGGAAAGCAGGGGAUCGCAAGACCUUGCGCUGAUUGAGCGGCCGAUAACAGAUUAGCUAGUUGGUGAGGUAAAGGCUCACCAAGGCGACGAUCUGUAGCGGGUCUGAGAGGAUGAUCCGCCACACUGGAACUGAGACACGGUUCAGACUCCUACGGGAGGCAGCAGUGGGGAAUUUUGGACAAUGGGGGCAACCCUGAUCCAGCCAUGCCGCGUGAGUGAAGAAGGCCUUCGGGUUGUAAAGCUCUUUCGGCCGGGAAGAAAUCGUAUCAGCUAAUACCUGAUGCGGAUGACGGUACCGGCAUAAGAAGCACCGGCUAACUACGUGCCAGCCGCCGCCGUAACAC
rnacentral:rRNA from 1 species